AAGAAAGUAAGGACUCAUUGCCUUUGUGAAUGGAUCUCUUCGAAACAUAAGUGAAAGUACUGAACUUUGUUAUUGGGUGAACCUUUGAACUGUUGUUAGUGGCAGAAAGAUUCAGUAAAUACUGUCCCAUUU